UGGAAUGAGUGGUCUUCUUCACGUCAGUCAAAUCAGUCAUGAUCGUAUAACUGAUAUUGAAACUGUUCUUCAACCUGGUGAUACUCUGAAGGUAAAACCUAUAAUAAAUUACAUGGAAAUUUGCUUAGAAUUACAGAUGUGGCGUGGACAUAAAGUCUCAUUUAUUCUUUGUAUAGGUGAUGAUCUUAAGUCAUGAUCGGGAGAGAGGCCGAGUUAGUCUUUCCACGAAGAAAUUGGAACCCACACCUGGUGACAUGAUUCGCAAUCCAAAGCUUGUCUUCGAGAAGGUAGUAUUUUAAAGAAAGGAUCUCAAGCCUUUUUUGUUUGCUGCCUAUCUAAAUUACAGUUGUAGAAUAUCAAUGCCUCGAUUAGUCAUGGUUUAUUUUCACUUCCUGCAUUUUCUCCUAUCUAAUUUUCCGAGUUCCUGUUUCUGUUUUACGUUGUACUUCUUUUCAUGUCAUCCUAUAAUCAUCCACAUCACAAUCAUUUCCAUUAGCAUUAUCAUUUUGGAAGGAAAAUCCACACA
rnacentral:lncRNA from 1 species